AGCUUCCCUUAUUGGUUUGGAGUGUGCUGGUGAUCGAAGUUGUGCUUUUUUGUCGGAACUACUAAAGGAAGGCAUGGAUGAGAACCAGCAGCAAAGCAAAGAAAACAAAAGUGCUGAUGAGGUGCCACUUGAGUCUGUAAAUGGAAAGAAAACACUGAAAAAUGACGGUAGGGAAUACAUUGCUUGCACUAUAAAGUAUUGAAAGUAAUUUGCAACUCUCCAUAUUUGUUAUUUGUAAUUGACAUGCUUUGCACAGGUGUUGUGGGGUUAGUGGAGAAGUUAACUGUAUUUCAAAAAUUAAAUCACUUUAAAUUGCAGUGAAAGCUAUUACUUUUAUAGUUAUAAAAGUAUCAAAGGUAACUUCUCUGAGAACCUUCUCCAGUGUCUGUGAUAUAGAAGUGUCCACUAAAUAUAGGUUCAUUUAUUAAGAAAUGUGGGAAGAAUAG